AGAUGUGAGGGUGAUCUGGCUGUGACAUCUGUCACCCCACUGAUUGCCAGGGUUGAUUUGGCUGAUCUGGCUGGCUAGGUGGGCAUCUCUUCCCUCCCUCACUGCUCCAUGUGUGUCCCUCCUGAAGCUGCAUGCUCGAACGAAGAGGAUGACCUUCCCCAAAUUCCUUAGUGGAAGUCUUGGAGUAGCUCAC
rnacentral:snRNA from 1 species